UGGAGAGUUUGAUCCUGGCUCAGGACGAACGCUGGCGGCGUGCUUAACACAUGCAAGUCGAACGGAAAGGCCCCUUCGGGGGUACUCGAGUGGCGAACGGGUGAGUAACACGUGGGUAAUCUGCCCUGCACUUCGGGAUAAGCCUGGGAAACUGGGUCUAAUACCGGAUAGGACCAUUUAGCGCAUGCUUUAUGGUGGAAAGCUUUUGCGGUGUGGGAUGGGCCCGCGGCCUAUCAGCUUGUUGGCGGGGUGACGGCCUACCAAGGCGACGACGGGUAGCCGGCCUGAGAGGGUGUCCGGCCACACUGGGACUGAGAUACGGCCCAGACUCCUACGGGAGGCAGCAGUGGGGAAUAUUGCACAAUGGGCGCAAGCCUGAUGCAGCGACGCCGCGUGGGGGAUGACGGCCUUCGGGUUGUAAACCUCUUUCAGCAGGGACGAAGCGCAAGUGACGGUACCUGCAGAAGAAGCACCGGCCAACUACGUGCCAGCAGCCGCGGUA
rnacentral:rRNA from 1 species